UGCCCUCAAGGAAAAUCGAAUUCCUAUCUAAUGCUUACAAGGCAUUUGUUCUACCAUUGAACUAUAAGGGC
rnacentral:tRNA from 1 species